AUUGGUUUUGAGGUGGGGAGCCCAUCCUCCAUUAGCUGCUAAAUUUCUUACUUCUUAGGCUAGUCCAGGUGACAAAUAGGUAGAAGAGUACCAAUGGUCAUCUGCUUGAAUUAUGUCAUAAUGGAGCCAGAAGCACAGACUUGGAGCUAAUAUGGAGCCUGAGCAGUGAUGGCCAGGAAGGGAGUCCAUGACACAGAGUUUUAAGGACCACCCUAAGCAUCAAGCCUUGCCUACUGCCUGACCAAUGAAACAGUGAAUUUAUAUCUGUGGUGUCAAUGUAUUGUCACACUGAAAAACUUAACUUUGCUCCAAGGCUUAGAAUUCUGUUUCAUCAAAGUACUCAUUAAAUUCCACAGGUUGUUUUUA